rnacentral:pre_miRNA from 1 species
GAAUGCAUCACCUAGGGGUCUUGCUAAAAUUCAGGCUCUGAUUCAGUAAGUCUGAGAUUCUACAUUUCUAGCAAGCUGCCAAGUGAUGCCCUG